rnacentral:rRNA from 1 species
GACGUAGGGCGCGAGCGUUGUCCGGAUUUAUUGGGCGUAAAGAGCUCGUAGGCGGUUUGUCGCGUCGGCCGUGAAAUCUCCACGCUUAACGUGGAGCGUGCGGUCGAUACGGGCAGACUUGAGUUCGGUAGGGGAGACUGGAAUUCCUGGUGUAGCGGUGAAAUGCGCAGAUAUCAGGAGGAACACCGGUGGCGAAGGCGGUUCUCUGGGCAUUACCUGACGCUGAGGAGCGAAAGUGUGGGGAGCGAACAGG